GACGAACGCUGGCGGCGUGCUUAACACAUGCAAGUCGAACGGAAAGGCCCUGCUUUUGUGGGGUGCUCGAGUGGCGAACGGGUGAGUAACACGUGAGUAACCUGCCCUUGACUUUGGGAUAACUUCAGGAAACUGGGGCUAAUACCGGAUAGGAGCUCCUGCUGCAUGGUGGGGGUUGGAAAGUUUCGGCGGUUGGGGAUGGACUCGCGGCUUAUCAGCUUGUUGGUGGGGUAGUGGCUUACCAAGGCUUUGACGGGUAGCCGGCCUGAGAGGGUGACCGGCCACAUUGGGACUGAGAUACGGCCCAGACUCCUACGGGAGGCAGCAGUGGGGAAUAUUGCACAAUGGGCGGAAGCCUGAUGCAGCAACGCCGCGUGCGGGAUGACGGCCUUCGGGUUAUAAACCGCUUUCGCCUGUGACGAAGCGUGAGUGACGGUAAUGGGUAAAGAAGCACCGGCUAGCUACGUG
rnacentral:rRNA from 1 species